rnacentral:lncRNA from 1 species
AACCCUGUGCUCUCUGAAACAUGUGCUGUGUCCACUCAGGGUUAAAUGGAUUAGGGGCGGUGCAAGAUGUGCUUUGUUAAACAGAUUCUUGAAGGCAGCAUGCUCGUUAAGAGUCAUCACCACUCCCUAAUCUCAAGUACCCAGGGACACAAACACUGCAGAAGGCCUCAGGGUCCUCUGCCUAGGAAAACCAGAGACCUUUGUUCACUUGUUUAUCUGCUGACCUUCCCUCCACUAUUGUCCUAUGACCCUGCCAAAUCCCCCUCUGCGAGAAACACCCAAGAAUGAUCAAUAAAAAUAAAAUAAAUAACAUUAAAAAAAAAGAAUUGUAGAAAUUAAGAAAAAUCAACAGGAUGGAGAAGAAGCCAGGUAGGAGAAAAGCCAAGAGAUUACAGUAAUGUGGAAGCCACGUGAAGAAAAUAUUUCAGGGAGUAGAGAAUGACUAUGUCUAAUUCUGCAGGUUCCCUGCUCAGAUGGAGAGUUAAACGUAAUAGUAAGGCCAGGUACAGUGGCAUAAACCUGUAGUCUCAGCUACUUGGGAGGAUCCCUUGAGCCCAGGAGUUCAAGACCAGCCUGGCAAGACAUAGCAAGAUCCUAGCUCUUUAAAAAAAAAUAGUAAUUCCCCUUCCUCAAAAUUAUAUUAAUAAGGCUACUUCAUCUGGACAUUCAUCAGUCUCAAGGUAUGGUUCAUCUGGAGACAGAAUCAUUCCUGCACUUGGUACUUUUGGAGUCUGUUUAUUCACCUCACAAUUUUAAGUACUUUAUAUUUAACAAAAUACAAAAACUGGGUGCUUUCAUAAAUGUUUUCUCAUCUAAUUCUUGGAACAGCUUAGUGGAGUAUUUAAUAUUAUCCCCCAUUUUACAGAUGCAGACCUCUGUUGAAUGACUGCCAGACGUAAGGGUUCUGCUUUGAGAAACUGAUAGAAUCCAAUUUAUGUUCUGUAGAUUAUGCUGUUUCCAUCUCACUUCAAUAAAUACUUAUCAAGCACUUACUUGUGUUCAGCACUGUUCUAUACACUCAAGA